rnacentral:rRNA from 1 species
UACGUAGGGGGCAAGCGUUGUCCGGAAUCAUUGGGCGUAAAGAGCGUGUAGGCGGUCCGGUAAGUCGGCUGUGAAAGUCCAGGGCUCAACCCUGGGAUGCCGGUGGAUACUGUCGGGCUCGAGUCCGGAAGAGGCGAGUGGAAUUCCUGGUGUAGCGGUGAAAUGCGCAGAUAUCAGGAGGAACACCGGUGGCGAAGGCGGAUCUCUGG